rnacentral:sRNA from 1 species
GAUAUGGAAAGCUAUUCAAAUGGGUUAUAGGGAAAAAUGCUGUUACAUGCUGGUGAGUUAUUUUGGGUUUUUUUUUGGUUAGGGUGAGAUCGAAAACUUUAGACAUGUUAAGCAAUAGCUGACCUGUUGUGCUUAAUCCCUAUGA